rnacentral:rRNA from 1 species
AUACAGAGGUUGCGAGCGUUAAUCGGAAUUACUGGGCGUAAAGCGCGCGUAGGCGGCUUAUUAAGUCAGAUGUGAAAUCCCCGGGCUCAACCUGGGAACUGCAUCUGAUACUGGUAAGCUAGAGUUUUGGAGAGGGAAGUAGAAUUUCAGGUGUAGCGGUGAAAUGCAUAGAGAUCUGAAGGAAUACCAGUGGCGAAGGCGACUUCCUGGCCAAAAACUGACGCUGAGGUGCGAAAGCGUGGGUAGCAAACGGGAUUAGAAACCCUUGUAGUCC